CUUUGAGCUAAUCAAUAAAAUAGUCUUAUAUAUGAAAUCUUUAAUUCGAAAUGACUUUGCUCAAACCUGCAAGAACGACGCACACUCGAGACAUAUUGGUAAAUGGGGAAGGGGAAGAGGCGAGGGAGGUCUGGAGCCUGAGGGAGACCAACCGCACCGCUCCGCAUGGCGCAGCGGCGGAUGUUGUCGCAUCCCGGAUGGCCGCCCCGCCCGGCCUCCACUGAGUCCAACUCCAACAUCCGCCUUCCCCUCCCUCCAUGGCAUAUUGGCAUUUGCAGAAGCAGAUCAUGCUUUGCCUGCCCACCACCUGUUCGACCAAAUGCCGUCCUCUGAGUCCUACCGACGGCGGGCGCUCUCUAGCUACCGCGCCGCACGCUAUCGGUAUACCCCUUGCUCUUGCUUUUCAAAAGUUUAUCCUUUCUCCUACAUUAUUGUUGCUACAAACUAGGCCGGCAGGAUGAUCUCGAUGCAAUGGGGGAUGCGUGUGGACAACAAAAGGGCUACUACUUAAUUUGUAACUCAAUUCUCGCUGGUUUAUUCGUCCUGACACUUUGCUACCUUGCACAAGCUUGACUGUUUAUUACGAUUCUGCCACCUGCUAUUCCUGAUGCACCUACGUAAUCUCUUUAUACAGGAGCCGCCCACCAUGAUGCUAGAGCAGCCCGCACCCAUCCCUUCUCCUUCUACACACCCCGUAAGUUCUCCUCAAACUUAUUGUCAACACGAAAUGAUAAUGAAGAUAGCUUGCUGCAUGAUUCGGGAAAAAGAAAAAAGUGAGAACAACGAAGCCUGCUUGAUACGUACCUGCACAAGCAUGUCCUUUGUUUGUCACAGACUUAAUUAUGUUCUUCCCUACUAUUUCUGUUUCUAUCACAGACUUAAUUAUGUAAGAAUGUGUGAUUGCAAACGAUUUCCAUCCAUUCAAGGUCAUAGAUUCUGUUCAGACACUCUUCAACCAACUAACCAAAUAUUAUUUGACUACUAUGCUUUCUUCUUUGUUCUGGCAAGGGCAACAUAUUUCACAAUCAUUCUGUCACAACCAAUUUCUGCUGGAGAAAAUACUGCCAUAGUCUGGCGUUUAUCACUUGUUUCCAUUAUCAAUACAUAAUUAGCACCCCAGCACAAAUCAAAUGUGCUUUAUCUGAUAUACGGAAACAAGGUAUGUGAUCUAUCAAACUGAUCUCUUACCAUACCGGAUUACCGACUUUUAUGGAAUGCGGAGGUCUUGUUCUCAUCUUUUAUUGCUCUAGAAAUCAGUUUACUAAUCAGUAUUUAAACUUUUUUUCACGUAACUUGAGGACCAAAUAUCCAUCUGAGUAUUCUUUACCUCGAGAAAACUGUCAGACUAUCACCAUACACACAUAUGUUAGUUUGUCUAUGCAGCAUAAGCAUGCCCAUGAAUAGUUCCUUUUGGGCCACGUGCUAGUCAUGGUUAAGAUACUUAGCAUCUAUUCUGUCGGAUAUGUUCUUUUUUGAAGAAAGCUGAGGAUUCGUGCAACAUUUCCAUCAUAUCAUGAUGAGCAAUUAUAUUCACAUUUGUGAUGAAUAAUGCAAGUUCUCAUCACCUGUUGUCACUUGUCAGCUUUAGUUGUUUGCUUAUGCUUAUUACUUUGUUAUCACAAUCUUGUGGAGAAGUUCCUGCAUCCUUCUUGCUCUAUCAUGAAAUUGAGGUAGGCUGUCGAAAGACUGAACAGUUCCCUGAUGUUGGUUAGGGUCUCACAAUCGCAUGUGUGGAAAAAGAUUGCCAUAUCAGAAUCAACCAAGCACUUGACUGAAACAACUUAAGGAGCUUUAUAGCCCUUUGUCUGUGAGCUGUUGCUAGACCUUGUCAUAAUUACUCCAGUCUAAAUAUGCUCCACGGCGCCCUUUGUAUUCUGUUUGUCUUUGAGGAUAGAAGUAUACAUUCUACCGCAUAUGUAAAUUGUUUCCUUUUUAAAAAUAGCUUAGCACUAAGAAUUGCUUGAAUAAAUUAACAUGGUUAUACACUCCACUGUCCAAAUAUAAAUUUAUCUACUUGCAAGUUUGCUUCAGCUUCAAGAAGGCUGGUAGAACCUACCUUUUAGGUUCCUUGUUUCUUCUCAUAUAACAAAUUUGUCAGAAAAGUGCAGUUGGAAAUAUUUGUUGGUCUUAGGGCCUGUUUUGCAGAGCUCCAGCUGCAAGAAAGAAUUCUUGGAGCUGGUCAUCCCUAGCUCUAGAAAUUCUUAGAGCUGGAGUUAUAGGCAGAUUGAGGGUCUUUGGUUUAGGCAUCUUUUUUUUAUAUAUAUGUUGGACUAAAAACGGAUAUUCAAACCACUUUAUUUUAUCCUACAAACUCAAAAUCCUACAUGAAUCUCGAAUCUAGAGUUUUGCCAAACAGUGUCUUAUGUUAUCAGUUCUGGACUACACUGCUGCUGAGACCAGAAGUGUCAUUCUCGUACUAUUUGUGGAGCAUUCUGUUGUUAAGGCUGUUGAUUCUUGUAGCUUGUCUAUCAAAUACGAGCUUUACGGCCUUUGUUCAUAUCCACAUUGAUUUUUUUCUCCUCAGCCUCCAAGGUAGUUUACUUGCACUUAACGGUUAGGAUAUGGGAUUGCAAGAUAUUUCCAUGCUAUUUAUGCAAAUAUUCGGGAGCAUCUACAACAUGAAAAGGGCUAUAAGCAAGCAACUCGCUUUAGUUCGAGAAUAAAAGGGUGAAACUUUUUUUUAUUUUGUGUGUCAAUGUUCUAGUCUCUUGAGUUGCUAUCGUAAAGUAAUUGCGAUGAGAGGUGCAAUAGGGUAUUAAUGGCCAGCUAAUGAUGCGGUUGUACAAUGUGCUAUUGAACUUCCUCCGGAUCCUGCCCAUGUAGAACUCACAUGGAGGGUAGUGGGUUGCCAUGGUUUUGGGAUAGUUCAACUGCUGGACCACGAGUAUAUUUGUUUGGACGGCCUAUUGCGUAGGCCGGGACUCAUCUCCAUUGAAACGUCGGAGGAGCGUGCAGUGCAGUUGGUCGCUGGGGAACCGUAAUGGAUCCAAGUUGGUGGUACCGCUGAGGGGUUAUGAGCGAUCGAUGGAUCGUAUGGCAUUCCUUGCUCGACGGACUCAACUCCAUCACGCGCUUGCUUGUUGAGUCAUCAGUCGGCAAGGAAUGGAAUGGGCACAAGUGCAGCUUUAAUUUGAAGUGUUGCAGUGCAGUGUUGGAUGACGAUUAGCAUUGAAGGGCAUGCAUGCAUAUAUUGAUACGGUAUUGCACGGUGGCCUGGCCCAUGGUUUGUUUUGUUACCAAGGAAUCACUCGAUCACUGUGCAUAUGACGUGAUGAAUUAAGCUUGCGGUACAUACAUGUCCGACCCUGAGCUUGCCUACUAUAUACAGCAGCUGGUUGUUCUGGGCCCUCCCUGGGAGAGGAGGAGGAGGAGAAGAAGAAGAAGAUGGCGACGACGCACAUCUGGGAGAGGAGCACAUGUAUGUAUGUACCUGAAGGCUGAAGCAGAUCUGGUAUGUCCGUCGCCAUUACUGAUUGAGUUCGUACUCACCAGCCGCCUACCUGCACUGCACAUCAAUCAUUCUUUCUACUCUGUCCUGCCAAGCGCUAAUGUCGGUUAAGGCCAGGUUAGAUAUCGUACGGUACCCAGGCUUAUUUAUUACUGUACAUGCUCCUCUACUAGAAUUACCCUCAACUGUACAUUACAACAACGACUACAACAAGGGGAGAAAGAGAGCCCAUACAACACAGCAAAAUUUGGGCUCUGUUUAGCUUUGGUUGCCGAUCCUUCUGUCGCGGAUCUUGUUUGGUCGGCCGCCAGCCAUCGCCAUGCCUAACUGCCUAUCUCAUAAGAAAGUCUGUUGCGUUUUGUGUGUGCAGCAGCGGCGCAGUGGCAGAUGAGUUCCAUGAGGCGGCGAUGUCCUGAGCGACCCUGACGGCGUCCAGGGAGACGCCGGAGAGGCCCCGCCGGGUGAAGCCGACAGAGUAGAGGCCCGACGCCCCUUUCCAGCCCUCCGGGAACGCCACCUUCGGCGUGGGGUUGAGGAUGCUGUCGGGCUUAG